UACGGGGGGGGCAAGCGUUGUUCGGAAUUACUGGGCGUAAAGGGCUCGUAGGCGGCCAACUAAGUCAGACGUGAAAUCCCUCGGCUUAACCGGGGAACUGCGUCUGAUACUGGAUGGCUUGAGAUUGGGAGAGGGAUGCGGAAUUCCAGGUGUAGCGGUGAAAUGCGUAGAUAUCUGGAGGAACACCGGUGGCGAAGGCGGCAUCCUGGACCGGCAUUGACGCUGAUGAGCGAAAGCUAGGGGAGCAAACGGG
rnacentral:rRNA from 1 species